GUGAGACUUGCCUUUCACCUUCCACCAUGAUUGUGAGACCUCCCCAGCCACGUGGAACUUUCCCAUGAUUGUUGUGAUACUGAAUCAAGAUGAAUGUACGGAGAGGUGGUACAAAGAGAUGUGAGGAAAAGGGGAGGCAAUGGUAGAACCGUGGCCAUUCAGCCUGAAAGCUGGGGAGAUACUAAAGAUGAUCUCUGCACAUGUUGGGUUCCUUUCUGCCUUUGGCCACUAAUGGAAGCAGCCUGAGGCCCUCACCAGAUGUAGAUGCCCAAUCUUGAACUUUCCGGCCAUCAGAAUCAUGAACCAAAUAAACCAUUUUUCUUUAUAAAGUACCCAGCCUCAGGUAUUCCUUUAUAGCAACACAAAGUGGACUAAGACACCAAUACUAGUGUCCUUAUAAGGCCAUCUGAGCACAAAGACAUACACAGAGAAAGGCUUGUAAACAUGGAGGCAAAGAUUGAAGUAAAGAAGCUACAAGUUAAGGAAUAUCAAGGAUUGCCAAUAACUGCUAGAAGCUUGGAAGAAGGAGGGAAGGAUUCUUCCUUCCACCCUUCAGAGGGAUCAUGGCCCCAGUGAUGCCUUGAUUUCAGACUCCUAGCCUCCAGAACUGUGAGAGAACAUAGUCAUGGACUGUAUAAUGACUUUUAGGUCAACAACAGACCACAUAUAUGACAGAAAUCCUAUAAGAUUAAAAUGGAACUGAAAAACUCCUAUCACCUAGUGAUGUCAUAGCCAUCAUACAUCAUAGCCCAAUCAUUUUAUUUUAAAAUAAAUUUUGUGUAGCCUAAGUGUAUAGCACAUCCUCAAAUAACAUCGUUUUGUUCAAAGUCAUUUUGUUAUAACAUUGAUGAGAAAAAAAUAAAGUCUAUUCCCAGCUCAGGCCACUGUCUGUGAGGAGUUCUCACAUUCGCCCCACGUCUGCAUGGGUUUUCUCCGGGUACCCCAGUUUCUUCUCACAUCCCAAAGAUGUGAAUGUUAGGUGAAGUGGUGUGUCUAAAUGGUACCAAUAAAAUCUACAGUCGUGUACAGUUGUGUCCUAAAGGCCAUCAUAUUCAUUUGCCACUUAGUGACUCACCCAGAGCAACUUCCAGUCCUGC
rnacentral:lncRNA from 10 species